rnacentral:lncRNA from 1 species
GGUGAAUUUGGAUUUUUCGAUAUACAAGGGAUAAACUGAUUUUUAUUUGAUUAAAUAUUUUUAUAUAUGUAAAAUCUUAAAUUUUACAUUUGAAAGUUUAACUUGUAGUUUAAUAUUAAGAAAAUUACUAAGAAGGAGGUAUUCAAUCCUAUUACCGUAUGUAAAUAGAAUAUGGUAUUAUUCUUUUUAUAUAAAACAUUAUCAAGCAAAUCAAAUGACAAAAUUUAUGGAGUUAUAUAAUAUUUUGGAAUUUUUUUUUAUCUUAAAUUUAUGAAUUUUUUACAAAUGAUUUAAAUCGUUCGUUUUUUAUUUAAUUAAUAAUGAUUAUAUUAUAAUGAUAAUAUUAUAAUGAUAUCUUUAAUUAAACCUCAAGUUGUGCAUGUCAAUAAAAAAAUUAAUUCUCAUAUUUCUAUUCUUUUUCCUUCCACUAGCCAAAAGUUCUUCAUGCUAAACAAAACUUUGUCACACAAAACAUGUGCGAGAGUUGUACUCUUUCUAAAUUAUUUCAAUGAAGAGAAUGGGUACUUUUACAUAUUUCAUUCA